GGCACGGAGUGCGGGGCGGGCCUGCGGCGGCAGAGGCCGGCGUGACGUUGCGCCAGCCUGAGGCGCGCCGUGCGUUUUCCCGGGGGAGUUGUCUCUGGAUUCUGGGACCCUGGCAGUGGCGGGCUGCACAGGCUCCCCGGAAGGGGGGUGUGCAUAGUGACCUGUGCUCGCACACAGGCUUCUUGGUGGCAGCAGCAGCGGCCUUAGCGUCUCAUGUCUGUCUCUGGGGUCCGCACUUUUAGCCGCGGCUCGCGCCCGUCUCUGGAGCUCCUUUAAGCAGCAUUCUUAAUCCCCUCUCCUCGUGCACCAGGAAACAAAGAGAAACACUUCUCAAGUGUCUACAUGUCCCAGAAGGGGAAUUUUUUGGAGGUGGCCACUUCUUCGGAAUAGUCCGACGCCAUCAGGCCUCUGAAGCAAGGGGAGGGGGAAGAGAAAGAAGCUGAAACACAAGGUUCAUCUGGAUAUAAAAAAUUGGGGCAGAAACAUUACUAUCAAAUAAAAAAAAGAGAUAAAGGGGUAAAAGAGGACGGAAGCCCGCAUGCCUAGAGCCCGUGCUCCACAACAAGAGAAGCCACCGCAAUAAGAAGCACGCUCACUGCAACAAAGAGUAGCCCUGGCUCAUUGCAACUAGAGAAAACCCGCGUGCAGCAACGAAGACCCAGUGCAGCCAAAAAAAGAAAAAAGAAAAAAAAAGGAGGCAGUAUGCAACAGGAAAAAGAAAUGUGAAAUCACUGGGCUGAUGGUACAUGCUGGAUUAUGAACUGGGGUCCUGACAACAUGUCUUCCAUCCAUGAGAAGCCUUUCCAAGGAGAAUGACCCUGGCAAUAACAGAGAAUGAACCUCGUUUGCAUACCUGGAAAUAACCAGCUUAAGAUAAUGAAUUUGCCAGAGAGACCUAUUUGGGGGUGGCGAAUCCUCCUCCCCUACAGCAGGAACUGAGAGAGACAAACGUGAAGAUGGCUGAGGAAAAGCAGAGGAAGAAAGCACCUUUGAAGGCUGAUCGUGGAAUUGACCUGGCAUCUUUGAAGAGCAGAAAGAGUGUCUCUGUAACUGAGCCAAGGGAGUGAGAAGAAGACCGAAGAGUGUCUCCUGCCUAUAAAGCUGGGAGAGUAUGGAGACUGGAGGAAGAAAAUAAAUAUUAGGUUCUUAGAAAUACCAAAAUUGUUGGUCUCCUGGCACACACCUGAAUUAGAUUUAUUCUAUUCUUUAAAGGUUAGUGGAACUCCAGGGACUGGCCUAGAAACCUAACAACUACUGGUGACAGAAAAUCUAUAAAAUGGCAUCAUGUUCUCAAAGUAGAAGACUAACCUUGGGUUUUAAAGAUAAGAGGUAGAAUAUGGAUGGUAAAUAUUCAUAUAAAGCCUCUAGUGAUUGACAGUGGACUCUAACAGUACCUAAAAAUCCAUAUUAAGGUGUGAAUUGCACAUAAUUGAGUGAUUACAGGUCUGGCAUAAUGCUGGAUAUGGAAAAGCAAUGGAACUGGGGCUCAGUUUUAAUUUCAGCUCUGCCCCUAACCAGCCUAGAGACCUUGGGAAAGUCAUUUAACCUCCUCCUAGCACACACGCAUCAUCAUCAUCAUCAUCAUCAUCAUCAUCAUCAACGUCAUCAUCAUCAUCAACAUCAUCAUCAUCAUCAUCAUUAUCAUCAUCAUCAUCAACGUCAUCAUCAUCAUCAUCAUCAUAAUUAUCAUCAACAUCAACAUCAUCAUCAUUGUCAUCAUCAAGGCUAUACUUUGGAUGCUAAAUAUCUCCAUGCCGAGAAGCACUUCAAAGACAAAACCUGGGGGGGAUAAAGCUUUGCUGUUGGGGUGCUUAUCUUUAUGAUUGCAGGCAGCAACUCUGAAGAGAGAAUAUUGCUGAAAAUCUCAAAAAUUACCUCGUUUCGAGGCUUCUUGCCUCACAGUGGGACAUUAGAAGGUGGGUAGUCCCUGGAUCCUCCCUGGAGGUCAGAUCCCCAGUAUAUUAGUACCAUGAAACUGAGGCUUUAUAUGCCUGGUCACUGCCAUCUCCCCACUAUUGGCACAGUGUCUACCAUGUUGUAAGGACUCAAUCAGUAUUUGCAGACUGAGUGAGGAAAAUGGAUGAAUGACAAACAAUUGAGGUAAGCCAGCCUCAAGAAGGCUGUCCCAGAGAGCUUACACAAAUCAAAUUGUGAAAAUUUCCACCUUUCCUGAUUCUACAUAGACAUGGCCCCAAUUUCUGCCAGUGCCUGAAAGAUAAUUACAAUAAUCAUUCAUAUCUCCUUGUGGAAAUAAGGUAUAACAUUCAUACUUUCCCAAGGUGUAUUAUCAUACAUACUUCAUUUUGGAAAAAUUGAUAAGGAAAAUUAGCAGCUGCACCAUAAGCCUAAUGAGAAAUAUAGGCAAAGCAUUUGAAGUCAUGGAACAUGAGACAUUUUUUUCCAUUAUGAUCAAUUAAAGGUAUAUAGUAUCGAUAGAAGGCCAUGCAUGGAACCACACUCCACAUCAAAUCACACCUAUCACCAUGUUUUAUUCAAAAUGAUCUUUUUUAUUCCUUUAUUAAUUCAGUUACUUUGCCUUUAAAAAAUAUACCUUGAGAGAAAAUUAUAUGCAUGAUAUUAUGAUAAAUAGCCUGGUGAUAGAUAAUGUAUAAGGUAUUUUCUACCUACAAGAACUGGACAGACAGUGGGGAUAUAGACAAAUGCACACAGAUCUACACUGGAGGUUCUGAUGGUGCCCAUCCUAAGUAAGGAGAGUCCUAAUAACAAAGCUUUCUGAAAUGUGCAAAUAAAGAUUAAAGAGCUAGAAUGGUGGGUCGUGGAUGAUUGGGGAGGUGAAAAAGUAUGUUAUAAUAAAGAGAUCAAAGUUAAGGUAGAAUAUAUAUGGAGAAUGUGGGGUCACUUUAGUCCAAGAAUCAUGAUGUGGAGAGGGUCAUGGGUCACCCAGAGAUGUGGCAUUUGCAGUGAUGAAUAUUAAUGGUAGCUGUUAUGUACAAUAAAAGGAGCACUAGUUUUGGAAUUUAAAGAUGUACAUUGGAACCCCAACUCUGCCACUUACCAGACAACUAACCUUGAGCCUAAUCUACAAGCCUCAGUUUUCCCAUCUACAAAAUAGGUUUACAGGUAUCGAUCUCAGAGGGAUCUUCAGAGGAACCAAUGUGGUAACGUAUGAAGCAAGAAACACUUUUUUCAGCACACUGGGCAGAAAGCAAGUCUCAGCCUGCUCUAGCACACGAAUUUUAGCUUACAUUUGGAAGCUAAAAUGAAGGCACAGUGAAACUGACAGGUUUGCCUGAGGCAUUUGGUUGAAUCGGUUUUGACAAUGUUGAGUCAAUGACUCUACCCCUCCCCAAAAGUUCUGCAGGACAGAUAAUCAGGAAGCCAAGUAAUCCUCACAUCCAUUCUUGCCCUGUUUCAACACAGUGUGUUUACCUUCCAUUUGAAUAGCUAACCUGCUCAAUGUGGAGAACUGAAUCAGAUAAUGCCGCCCAUGUUAUUUUUAUUUUUGGACCAAUUCAUUUUGGCUGGAGAUGUUGAGAAAAGAAAGCAAACAACUGCCGAAUUUCCACUUAGCUUGGUGUAAAUCUACACACAGAUGCUAGCUCUGAGUGAGGGCGAAUGGGGGAGGAGGGGUAUUGUUAAUGGAUGAGAAAUUUUCUAGGAGAAGAGGCAGGAGUCUCCUGGGUUGUCCUAUUCUUGGAGAAUUUCCACCGUGCACAAUCAGAAAAUAUGUGCUGUGUCUGUGCUUCCUAUAUAAGUCAGGAUGCUAUUAUUUGCAAGCGCGUGGGAUUCAGUUCCACUGCUGGCACCUAAAUGACCUCUGAUACUGGAUCACACUUUUCCUCACCAUCUAAUGCUAACGAUAACAACAUCUACCAGCUAAGGCCCUUUAUUUUACAGUUCACAAAUAUUUACUUAAAUAUUCAUUUGAGUCCCCUAAGAACCACAGAAGGUUGGCAUUGUUGUUUUCACUUUACAAAUGAGGAAGAGGUUUAGUGAGGAUGGAGGAAAAUAGGGAAGCGAAAGAAUAUAAAUCAAGGGUGCAAAAAGGAGGGCUGGAUCCUAGAAGUGAAGGAGACCAUGAGAAGUCAGACAGUCCAGUGACAGGCUGUGCCUCCUUGGCCAUGCAUUGUGUGGUAGGUUCUAAGUUUGGGGUAUGUUCCUUCUUCCUUGAUGACCGCAAUCAAAGCUCAAAGGUUCAUGCAAUUUUGAAUUGGUUAGAAAAUGGCUGAGUUUGGGGUUCUACACCCUACCACCUCCCUGUCCCACCAUCCUGGGGACCUUACUUCUCUUAUCUAAACCAGAGCCAUCUUCCCCAAAUCACACCCUCUGAUAUAAGAGGGGCAAGGAGAUAUGGUGGUGCAUCAGAGAACAUUUUGACUGCAGAAAAAGAAGAACAAGAGCAAGGAGUGGUGAUGGGACCAAAAAUAAACCAAAAACAAGGUGUCAGGAACUGGUCAGAUGAUAAUCUAUUGCUGCUCAAAUGCAUGUCCCGUGAAUAAAUGUGUUGCAAUGUAUACGCUACUCCUUAAUGACUCUACGUCCUUCCACAUCGACUUGUUCCUUGAGUUCUUCUGAUAGCUUCAAAAUGUUUAAAAAACCAAUUAUCCUUCUUUAAACACCAAGGAUAGAUGGAUUCCAGGAAAGUGCUGACUGAGCAGGAUCUAAAGCGGGUAAAUAAUAACCUACCAUUCAUUCAUUGUCUUUGCAUUAAUCUUCAUGGCAUAGAUUUAACUUUAAGCUCAUGUUUCUCACUCAGAAUGUUUAAUGAUGAUGAGUGUCUUGUCCUUCUGCAUCCUCACUUCACUUUUGUCCUCUCUGUCCUCUGGUUACCAGAUAAACUUAAGGUAGAUAGGAGGGACCAUCCUACAGAUCUUUAUGGCAGAAUCGGUUUAGGUAU